rnacentral:rRNA from 1 species
GACAGAGGUGCCGAGCGUUAGGCGGAAUCACUGGGCUUAAAGCGUGUGUAGGCGGGCGGGCAAGUACCUUGUGAAAUCCCACGGCUCAACCGUGGAACUGCUGGGUAUACUGCCUGUCUUGAGCCAGCCAGGGGCAGUCGGAACAGACGGUGGAGCGGUGAAAUGCGUAGAUAUCGUCUGGAACGCCAAAGGUGAAAACAGACUGCUGGGGCUGUGCUGACGCUGGAGACACGAAAGCCAGGGGAGCGAACGGG